rnacentral:lncRNA from 1 species
AGUAACUCCACAAUUGCUCCACAUAGUGCAAAGCGGGGAAGAUCGAGAGACUCCGCACAACACGGAGUCUUCCAUACAACUCGCAUGGAGACUUAAGUCUUCGUUUUUUUUCCUCUUUAAGCUGGCAUCUGGGCUGUCAUUUCUUUUCUCCACUCAGCUAUUUUUUGUGAAUUUACACCAUUUUACUCUCCCGAGUCUUCUCUAGGGUUUUGGAGAACUACACUGCGAUUCCACCUCACCAAUGGCUUCUUGGGAUAAGCUAAUUUUCACAAACAUAGUUAUAAUCAAGGCAACGUUGAGUAAAGCUAAAGAAAAUUCGAUUUCGGCUUCUUAGGUAAAUGGGUUUCUUCCUUUACUUGAAUUUGUUGAAUCCUGGACGUUGGUAUUAAGUGGGUCCUAUCAAAUUUGUUGAAUCCUGAAAGUUAGAUUUCUCUUUGAUUUCCUUCGAAUUCAUAGUAGCAAUAUUUUCAUUUCCUAAUUAUAUUGCUCUCGAAAAAUGGAAUUUUGAAAGGAAUAAUUACAUGUGGGUAAAUUUUGGUAUCCAUUCGCACUGUUUAUAACUUGAAUUUUUUAUUCUUUUUGGAUUGCGCUUUCAGUAUUCCAAUGUGAAAUUUGAUGCGAUGAUGAGAAGCUAACAUGUAAGGAGAGGUAGAUGAUUUUCAUUAUUUUCUUGUUCCUUAAGAAAAAUUGAAUCUUGAAUAUGGUUCUUAUUUGGAUUUUUUUUAUGGUCAAGAUUGUCUUUUUUUCCCAUGUUACACUUCAUAGAUUUUCAAUUUUUAAGAAGAGGUAGAUGUUGAUUUCGAGAAGAGUGAGGUUGGGCUUCUAAACUACAUAGAUUAAUUAUGUUGUUCUUCUUGGGCGAGAUUAUUGUUAACCCCUUUAUUAUUGAGAGAUUUUUCCAGUUCAGCUUAAAUAUUUUUGUUAGAUAGGCUUUGUCAUGAAUUUCUGGUUAUAAAUAUGUUGUUUGUGUAUUCUUUUUUCAAGUUUCCUCAAGGUUUUUGUUGAAUUAUGAGGUACGGUUGAAUUUUAGUUGUGGUAUAAAUUCCUUACCGUGUCCAUGGGAUCUUAAAAGUAUGCUACAUGGGUUACGUCAAUAUAGACGAGGGUUUAUGAUAUAUGAGUUCAGAGAUAUGCCCUUGUGAAGUAAUGACUUGUUAUAGUAUGGAAUAUAAGUGGAUGGAUAGCAAAGAGAAACUAAGAAGGGAAGAAUAAUUUGUUUUCAUAUAGAUUUGAUGCACAAUUUGAGAAUUAAAUAAUUGUCAAACAUUCUUCUAAUGCAAUAUUUUUUCUUUCUCGUAAUUACCAGAUUUUUAUCAUGCUAGACAAAGAUAGGAGGUUCAACAUAGCAGGCCAGAUGCAAGGCUUGAGUGAGAUUAAAGACAAGAGGGACCUUGGUGCUUGUUAUUGAAAAAGUAGUGGUGUUCUAGGGCUUGAACCUCUUAUUGCACCUGAAAUAUUAGAUGGCAUAGUAAAGGCUCUUCAGGUAGUGUUUAAGCCUAUGCACUUCAUCUAUGAAGACACUACUAACCUGCACUUGCACUAUAAAUAGUUUGGACUUAAAUUAUUGGUAGCUUUCUUUAACCAUCUUGAUACAAAAUUUAGGAGACAACAUGGAAGUAAUUAUUCAUUAGAUUGUGAUGUAAAGUGGAGUCAUCUAGCCGUGGAAACAAUGUUACUUCUGCUCCUCGAUCUGCCGAAGCAGUUCAGAAAGACUUAAUACACACGCACACAUGAAAGCAUACACUAAAUAAUUUUAUUAGUAUAUUAAAUUAUUUUCCUUCAUUCUUAAUUUAAUUGAUAUACAGCUUUUGAGGAGGCUUGAUUAUAGAAGCAGCAAUGAAAAGCAGGCUUAGGAUGAAAGCAAGUCUGAGGAAAAAUAAGCAAGUAUCAAGGUUAUAAUAAGCUUUGUAGAUAUUCUUGUAAAAUUUUAAGUUUUUUCUUCUAUGCUAAAUACAUGCUUAUGUCAAGCAAUUAAAGUCGAGUAGAAUGAGGCUUCCUCAAUUAAAAUAAGAAUUACGAAGAGCUAAAGGCUAGGUGAGAAUUUUUUUUGACAUAUCGCCUUUUUUUUAAUAACUAUUAAUAUUAUUACUUCUUUCAUUCUUGUAUUAUCUAUAGUAUUGUAAAUCAUUCUUUUAAUAAUAUUUGCUUUUUACCAUAGGUUUUAUUUAAGUCGCAAUUCUUUUUAGGAGAGGAUCAAAGUAUUCCUUCUGCUAACAUAAGCUUAGGUACUAAUGGAAUCGGUAUUAUCUAAGACUUUCGACUCGGGAAAAAGGGGGAGGGGGUUAACAGGAAUUAUAAUAUUUACUAAAAGCUAAAUUUUGAAGUUUAUUUCUGUCUGUAGAUGAUGUGGUUUUCAACACAGAAUGAAGACUGUACAACAUAUGCAUACGAUUCAGG